GCCUUAUACAGGGGGAUAACAGUCAGAAAUGGCUGCUAAUACCGCGUAAGCGCACAGAGCUGCAUGGCUCAGUGUGAAAAACUCCGGUGGUAUAAGAUGGACCCGCGUUGGAUUAGCUAGUUGGUGGGGUAACGGCCCACCAAGGCGACGAUCCAUAGCCGGCCUGAGAGGGUGAACGGCCACAUUGGGACUGAGACACGGCCCAGACUCCUACGGGAGGCAGCAGUGGGGAAUAUUGCACAAUGGGGGAAACCCUGAUGCAGCGACGCCGCGUGAAGGAAGAAGUAUCUCGGUAUGUAAACUUCUAUCAGCAGGGAAGAUAGUGACGGUACCUGACUAAGAAGCCCCGGCUAACUACGUGCCAGCAGCCGCGGUAAUACGUAGGGGGCAAGCGUUAUCCGGAUUUACUGGGUGUAAAGGGAGCGUAGACGGUGUGGCAAGUCUGAUGUGAAAGGCAUGGGCUCAACCUGUGGACUGCAUUGGAAACUGUCAUACUUGAGUGCCGGAGGGGUAAGCGGAAUUCCUAGUGUAGCGGUGAAAUGCGUAGAUAUUAGGAGGAACACCAGUGGCGAAGG
rnacentral:rRNA from 1 species